CCCCUGCCGCCGCACGGGGGCUCGCCCCCUCGCUUCAGGGACAAGCAGCGGGCACCACAGCACCGCGCCUUCGCCUCCAGCCCUCACGACUACGAUAUGCGUGUUGAUGACUUCCUGCGGCGGACACAGGCCGUAGUGAGCAGCCGCCGAGAGCGUGAGCGGCAGCGAGAGCGGGACCGAGGCGGACCCCGCCGAGAGCGCGAGCGAGCGAGGGACCGCGACCGGGAGAGAGAGCGGGAUAAGGAGCGGGGCCGGUAUCGCCGCUGAUGUCACUUCCUGCCAUCCUGCAGGGCUCUUAUUUUGACAGUUCCCUUUUUUAUGUUAAAAUCAUGAAUAAAAUCGAAACAUGGUGUGGUGAUGUCAUCAUGAUGAUGUCAUCACUGCUUUGUCUGUGAAUAUUUAAAGAACUGAAGCUUUUAUUUUGAUGGUCUGUGUAAAAGGGAAGUGACCUCACAGCACAGGAACCUUCACACUUCAUUUCCCAGAAUCCUUUGUGGUUUCUCAUGUUUCAGUUCAGAGGUUCUCAUCGUGCAGCCGGUGGCCCUUUGAGGGCCGUCAGGGUCACCUGAGGGGUCCAACAGGAAACACAACCUUCUACUUCCUUUUAUCACUGCUGCUUUUAUUGUGAAAGAACAACAAUAAAAACUUCCUCCUCA